rnacentral:rRNA from 1 species
AUUGAACGCUGGCGGCAUGCCUUACACAUGCAAGUCGAACGGCAGCACGGGAGCAAUCCUGGUGGCGAGUGGCGAACGGGUGAGUAAAGUAUCGGAACGUGCCCAGUCGUGGGGGAUAACGUAGCGAAAGUUACGCUAAUACCGCAUACGAUCUAUGGAUGAAAGCGGGGGAUCGCAAGACCUCGCGCGAUUGGAGCGGCCGAUAUCAGAUUAGGUAGUUGGUGGGGUAAAGGCUCACCAAGCCGCCGAUCUGUAGCUGGUCUGAGAGGACGCACAGCCACGCUUGGACUGAGCCACGGCCCAGACUCCUACGGGAGGCAGGAGUGGUGAGUUUUGGACAAUGGGCGCAAGCCUGAUCCAGCCAUGCCGCGUGCAGGAUGAAGGCCUUCGGGUUGUAAACUGCUUUUGUACGGAACGAAAAGGUCUGACUUAAUACGUUGGAAUCAUGACGGUACCGUAAGAAUAAGCACCGGCUAACUACGUGCCAGCCGCCGCUGUAA